AUACGUAGGGAGCGAGCGUUGUCCGGAAUUACUGGGUGUAAAGGGAGCGUAGGCGGGAUCGCAAGUCAGAUGUGAAAUACAUGGGCUUAACCCAUGGGCUGCAUUUGAAACUGUGGUUCUUGAGUGAAGUAGAGGUAAGCGGAAUUCCUGGUGUAGCGGUGAAAUGCGUAGAUAUCAGGAGGAACACCGGUGGCGAAGGCGGCUUACUGGGCUUUUACUGACGCUGAGGCUCGAAAGCGUGGGGAGCAAACAGGAUUAGAUACCCUGGUAGUCCACGCUGUAAACGAUGAUUACUAGGUGUGGGGGGACUGACCCCUUCCGUGCCGCAGUUAACACAAUAAGUAAUCCACCUGGGGAGUACGGCCGCAAGGUUGAAACUCAAAUGAAUUGACGGGG
rnacentral:rRNA from 1 species